AUGUACAUGCCUACAACGUUAAUGCAUUGGAUCUCAUUAGAACUUAACUAUUAAGUGUGCUUGAGCUAGAGUAGUACUGAGAUGGGUGACCUCCCAUGAAGUCCUAGUGUUUUACAUA
rnacentral:rRNA from 1 species